rnacentral:rRNA from 1 species
UCACUUUCAACAACGGAUCUCUUGGCUCUCGCAUCGAUGAAGAACGUAGCGAAGUGCGAUAAGUAGUGUGAAUUGCAGAAUUCCGUGAAUCAUCGAAUUUUUGAACGCAAAUUCCACUCUCUGGCAUUCCGGAGAGUAUGCCUGUUUGAGGGUCGAUA